rnacentral:rRNA from 1 species
UGGGGAAUAUUGCACAAUGGGCGAAAGCCUGAUGCAGCGACGCCGCGUGAGGGAUGACGGCCUUCGGGUUGUAAACCUCUUUCAGCAGGGACGAAGCGCAAGUGACGGUACCUGCAGAAGAAGCACCGGCUAACUACGUGCCAGCAGCCGCGGUAAUACGUAGGUGGCAAGCGUUGUCCGGAUUUAUUGGGCGUAAAGCGAGCGCAGGCGGUCAAUUAAGUCUGAUGUGAAAGCCCCCGGCUCAACCGGGGAGGGUCAUUGGAAACUGGUUGACUUGAGUGCAGAAGAGGAGAGUGGAAUUCCAUGUGUAGCGGUGAAAUGCGUAGAUAUAUGGAGGAACACCAGUGGCGAAGGCGACUCUCUGGUCUGUAACUGACGCUGAGGCUCGAAAGCGUGGGUAGCAAACAGG